ACGGCACGGUAAGGAGGUGGGGGCCAAAUUUGUAAACAUCGUCUCUGGAAACGUUUAGUGUUGUGUGGAAUCUGGACGAGAGAGGUUCGAUGGCAUCCACUGCGACAUACAUAGAUGACUUCAAACAAACUACAUCAUGUCUGUACGACGCCAUAUUGAGUUGUAGCAUGUUGUGUGGAGUCGCCAAUGAGUGGAGUCGCCGUCGGUAAACCAGAAUUACAUAAGUGGUGGCCUAACCUAACCCCGGUAUACCUAAGAAAAAUCGGUGGUCACCGUCCUUUUAUCCUUUCGUUGAUCGACGAGGCUCGUUUUUUUUUCUUGUGGAGAGGCGUCGUUUGUCACGACGUCAAGACGAGGCGUCCCCCUUUCGCUGGAACUUGCCGAGGAAAACAAUUAGAUGACCCCUCGAAUGAUUUUAUCGACAUCCUUCAGAGAAGAAGCUGCCAGACGAGGAAAAGUAAAGUAUGAAGCCAGAUGGCAUCGACGUUUUGCCAAACACACCGUGUCCCAGAAAUUUAAUUGCGUCGACCGAAUCAGUGCGCAGCGUGACAGAGACAAAGGAAGAUGGAUGGAAAUGAAGUUCUUCUACUGAAUUUACAUCUCCAACGGAUGACGUUAUAUCGUGUGGUCAUUAAGACUGGUCACAUACUUUCCCGCUCCAUAAAUAUCAAUAAAGACACGAACGUUUCUCUUUAAAAAAUUUAUAUCGUUAUAGGAUUAGAAAUCUUCUCGCCUGAUCGUGACCAAUCUACUAUUAAUAUAUUGAUUACCACAGGAAAAAAAGACAUUAAAAUAUCAAUCUUCUUUUUCUUUUUUCAAAUUUUUAUUACACGCGCAUCGACGUACAAAUAAAUAUUAGAAGCACGUGUAAAUUCGCAUAAAUCAAUCUCUCUUGAAUAAGUAUAUCGCUAACAACGGCUUGUCCUCGUAAAUUAUUGUGAAACGGCUUAAAAGGAGAGGGUUCUUCGUAAAAGGCGAGA